rnacentral:rRNA from 1 species
UAGGCGGACGGGUGGGUAAUGUCUGGGAAACUGCCUGAUGGAGGGGGGUAACUACUGGAAACGGUAGCUAAUACCGCAUAACGUCGCAAGACCAAAGAGGGGGACCUUCGGGCCUCUUGCCAUCGGAUGUGCCCAGAUGGGAUUAGCUAGUAGGUGGGGUAAAGGCUCACCUAGGCGACGAUCCCUAGCUGGUCUGAGAGGAUGACCAGCCACACUGGAACUGAGACACGGUCCAG